rnacentral:rRNA from 1 species
UACGUAGGGGGCAAGCGUUGUCCGGAAUUAUUGGGCGUAAAGAGCGCGUAGGCGGUCCGAUAAGUCGGCUGUGAAAGUCAGGGGCUCAACCCUUGAAAGCCGGCCGAUACUGUCGGACUAGAGUCCGGUAGAGGCAAGUGGAAUUCCCGGUGUAGCGGUGAAAUGCGCAGAUAUCAGGAGGAACACCGGUGGCGAAGGCGGUUCUCUGGGCCUGUACUGACGCUGAGGAACGAAAGCGUGGGGAGCGAACAGG